rnacentral:rRNA from 1 species
AUUGAACGCUGGCGGCAGGCUUAACACAUGCAAGUCGAACGAGUGGAGGACGGGCGAGUAAUGCUUGGGCAUCUGGCUAAUGGAGGGGGAUAACGACGGGAAAAUGUGGCUAAUACUGCUUACGAUAGGAUGAGCCCAAGUGGGAUUCGGGCGUUGGUGGGGUAAUGGCCUACCAAGACGACGAUCUCUAGCUGGUCUGAGAGGAUGACCAGCAACACCGGGACUGAUACACGGCCCGGACUCCGACGGGAGGCAGCAGUGGGGAAUAUUGCGCAAUGGGGGCAGCCUGACGGAGCAAUGCCGCGUGAAUGAAGAAGGCGUUCGGGUUGUAAAGUUCUUUCGGUGACGAGGCGUUACUCACCGAGGGAGCACCGGCUAACUCCGUGCCAGCAGCCGCGGUAAUUC